rnacentral:lncRNA from 1 species
CUGGGCUACGUUCCAGAACACAACGAAACUGGGCUACGUUCCAGAACACAACGAAACAGGGCUACGUUCCAGAACACAACGAAACAUGGCUACGUUCCAGAACACAAAGAAACAGGGCUACGUUCCAGAACACAACGAAACAUGGCUACGUUCCAGAACACAACGAAACAUGGCUACGUUCCAGAACACAAAGAAACAGGGCUACGUUCCAGAACACAAAGAAACAGGGCUAUGUUCCAGAACACAAAGAAACAGGGCUACGUUCCAGAACACAAAGAAACAGGGCUACGUUCCAGAACACAAAGAAACAGGGCUACGUUCCAGAACACAAAGAAACAGGGCUACGUUCCAGAACACAAAGAAACAGGGCUACGUUCCAGAACACAAAGAAACUGGGCUACGUUCCAGAACACAAAGAAACUGGGCUACGUUCCAGAACACAAAGAAACUGGGCUACGUUCCAGAACACAAAGAAACAGGGCUACGUUCCAGAACACAAAGAAACAGGGCUACGUUCCAGAACACAAAGAAACAGGGCUAUGUUCCAGAACACAAAGAAACAGGGCUACGUUCCAGAACACAAAGAAACAGGGCUACGUUCCAGAACACAAAGAAACAGGGCUACGUUCCAGAACACAAAGAAACAGGGCUACGUUCCAGAACACAAAGAAACAGGGCUACGUUCCAGAACACAAAGAAACUGGGCUACGUUCCAGAACACAAAGAAACUGGGCUACGUUCCAGAACACAAAGAAACUGGGCUACGUUCCAGAACACAAAGAAACAGGGCUACGUUCCAGAACACAAAGAAACAGGGCUACGUUCAAGAACACAAAGAAACAAGGCUACGUUCCAGAACACAAAGAAACAGGGCUACGUUCCAGAACACAAAGAUAAAGAACACAAAGAAACAUGGCUACGUUCAAGACCACAAAGAAACAGGGCUACGUUCCAGAACACAAAGAUAAAGAACACAAAGAAACAUGGCUAUGUUCCAGAACACAAAGAAACAGGGCUACGUUCCAGAACACAAAGAAACAGGGCUACGUUCCAGAACACAAAGAAACAGGGCUACGUUCAAG